AUUAGUGGCGAACGGGUGAGUAACACGUGGGCAAUCUGCCCUUCACUCUGGGACAAGCCCUGGAAACGGGGUCUAAUACCGGAUACGACCUCCGACCGCAUGGUCUGGUGGUGGAAAGCUCCGGCGGUGAAGGAUGAGCCCGCGGCCUAUCAGCUUGUUGGUGGGGUGAUGGCCUACCAAGGCGACGACGGGUAGCCGGCCUGAGAGGGCGACCGGCCACACUGGGACUGAGACACGGCCCAGACUCCUACGGGAGGCAGCAGUGGGGAAUAUUGCACAAUGGGCGAAAGCCUGAUGCAGCGACGCCGCGUGAGGGAUGACGGCCUUCGGGUUGUAAACCUCUUUCAGCAGGGAAGAAGCGAGAGUGACGGUACCUGCAGAAGAAGCGCCGGCUAACUACGUGCCAGCAGCCGCGGUAAUACGUAGGGCGCAAGCGUUGUCCGGAAUUAUUGGGCGUAAAGAGCUCGUAGGCGGCUUGUCGCG
rnacentral:rRNA from 1 species